UCCUCCUUGCAAAGCAGCCCAGGGUUCAAGGGCACGGCUGUCGCUCAGAAAUAAAAUGUUGCUACACUGGGCAAAUUGAAGACGCUCCACAAAAGUGCCUUCAGAUGCUUAGUCAAACUGAGGUCAUGCAAACACUGAGUCAUCGGGAACAAAGUAGCCAAUACAUGAAUAAUUCUAAAGGGAUGGGCCAGGCUCUCGGUGCCUGUACCAAGAACCUUUCUGGUGGUGCAAACUGAGUCUUGUGACUUCAUGCUUCAGUCAAAAGGAGGUUCUGCUGAAGAACACAUCACUCCGAACAAAAGUUGCUUCUUCCACGUUCAAGGUUUCAACGGGCCCUAAGUAAGACAUGUCAGGCAGGUGCAGGACCGAAUUGCACCAAUUCAAGAUCACCAGGAGGCCAGGACCACUAUGGGUUCAGUGCCUGUGCGAUCCUGCCUUGGGCAUAGAAGCCCAUGAGCAGGCCCCAGAGACAGGCGCCUGGGUGCGGGAGACAGCCCAGGAGGGGGGGGCUCAGCACUGAGGGUGGGGAGAGCACUGAGCCCACAAACCCCUCAAACCCAAAGUAGGCAGAGGCGGACCAGAAAAGUCACCGCUCAAAGGAGGGCGCCUUCUGAAGAGGAAGAAGGGUUUUAAGAGGGCUCGAGGAGGGCCAUGAGUCUAACACAGAAUGACGCCUUUUAAGCUUUUCAUAUGUCAGGUUAAAAAGCAAAGCCUUCCUCCUGACCCACGCCCCCAUCCCACCUCCACCUAAGAGGAAUUCCAAUAAGAGCCUUCUAGAAAAUGAGAGAAGAGAGGGAGGGAAGAGGAAGAAGGAAGAACACAGGGCACAGGGGCGCUUAUUUCAAUCCAUCACUGAUGGAGAAGAGGAAGUUCAAGGGCGUGACCAACAAGCAAUGGUCCCAGAAGACAAAGGCCCAUCCGUGUGUGUCCCAAGACCUCUGCGGGGAGUGUGUGGAGCAGAUAGGCCCAGAAUUCUAUAAAUUCUCCGCACUUGGCCAUCGAGACCCAGGGUGGCCUCGUUCACCAUCCAAAACUAAAGAGGAAAACAAACCAGCUGCCUCCCAACUUGGCUCCUUGGUCCUUAAUGUGAAGAAAGUCAGGUUUCGAAGGUACUCGAACAGGCAAUGUUAGGCUUGACUCUGAACGUGGUCAGUGUAGGCAGAAACUCGUCGCUACUUCUUUGGGCUGCUCCAUCAGUUUCCUAGGACUGCUGUAAAAAGGUGCCACAAACCGGGUUGGCUUUAAAAUAACAGAAACAUAUUCUCUUAUAGUUCUGGCCUGACGUCCAAAAUUCAAGUAUCGGCAGGGU
rnacentral:lncRNA from 1 species